rnacentral:lncRNA from 1 species
CUACAUAUUUUGAGGAUGCCAGUCCAAUUGUAAUCCUCGAUGAAAUGAGCUAUCUACCAACUAUCCUGAGCCUGAAAUGGGUGGAAAGGAGGGUGGUGAGAUUAUAUAAUCCCAGUGAGUAAACAAAUAUCAUUUAAAAUAUCUAAAGGCGAGUAAAAUGAGACUAUUAAAACAUUUCAUCAAACUGUAAUUUAUCAUCUUUCGACUUAUUUCAACCAAAUGAAA